UACGUAGGGGGCUAGCGUUGUCCGGAUUUAUUGGGCGUAAAGAGCGUGUAGGCGGCCAAGUAGGUCCGUUGUGAAAACUGGAGGCUUAACCUCCAGCUGUCGAUGGAAACCAUUUGGCUAGAGUCCGGAAGAGGAGAGUGGAAUUCCUGGUGUAGCGGUGAAAUGCGCAGAUAUCAGGAAGAACACCCGUGGCGAAGGCGGCUCUCUGGGACGGUACUGACGCUGAGACUCGAAAGCGUGGGUAGCAAACAGG
rnacentral:rRNA from 1 species